rnacentral:rRNA from 1 species
UGGGGAAUAUUGCACAAUGGGCGCAAGCCUGAUGCAGCGACGCCGCGUGAGGGAUGGAGGCCUUCGGGUUGUAAACCUCUUUUAUCGGGGAGCAAGCGUGAGUGAGUUUACCCGUUGAAUAAGCACCGGCUAACUACGUGCCAACAGCCGCGGUAAUACGUAGGGUGCAAGCGUUAUCCGGAAUUAUUGGGCGUAAAGGGCUCGUAGGCGGUUCGUCGCGUCCGGUGUGAAAGUCCAUCGCUUAACGGUGGAUCCGCGCCGGGUACGGGCGGGCUUGAGUGCGGUAGGGGAGACUGGAAUUCCCGGUGUAACGGUGGAAUGUGUAGAUAUCGGGAAGAACACCAAUGGCGAAGGCAGGUCUCUGGGCCGUUACUGACGCUGAGGAGCGAAAGCGUGGGGAGCGAACAGGAUUAGAUACCCUGGUAGUCCACGCCGUAAACGGUGGAUGCUGGAUGUGGGGCCCGUUCCACGGGUUCCGUGUCGGAGCUAACGCGUUAAGCAUCCCGCCUGGGGAGUACGGCCGCAAGGCU